GUGAAUAUCUUGCUCCGAAACUAGAUAACCUAAGGCCUUUUUUAAGGUGACGGUGACUAGGCUAGUGUUUAUACACUCGGGUAUUGUCGGAAACGAUAAUAUCUCCUAUUGGAAAGGAGUCUGUUAAGGCAAAGC
rnacentral:ncRNA from 2 species